rnacentral:rRNA from 1 species
UACGUAGGCUGCAAGCGUUGUUCGGAGUUACUGGGCGUAAAGGGUGCGUAGGCGGCCCUGUAAGUAUGGUGUGAAAUCUCCCGGCUUAACUGGGAGGGUGCGCUAUAGACUGCGGGGCUCGAGUGUGGGAGAGGAAAGUGGAAUUCCUGGUGUAGCGGUGAAAUGCGUAGAUAUCAGGAGGAACACCGGUGGUGUAAACGGCUUUCUGGACCAUAACUGACGCUGAGGCACGAAAGCGUGGGUAGCAAACAGG